UCAAACCUAAAAAUUUCUUUUGCCUCUCGAUCUUCGUUGCUCCGAUACUGGGUGCUUAAUUCCUUCGUCUAUCCUCGAUUUCUUCGUUUGAUCUCCAUGUUGGCUGCUUAAUUUUGAUUCUGUUGGAUCUCUGUCCUGCAUAGGCGACUAUGAUAUGCAUCGACAACUCGGAGUGGAUGCGAAACGGAGAUUACUCUCCGUGUAGGUUACAGGCUCAGACGGAAGCUGUUAAUCUUCUUUACGGGGCUAAAACCCACGUAUAUAUAUUAACACAUCUCGCUUUUGGAUUCGAUUUAUUAGGGUUUUGUGGGUUUACCUCUGAGAUUUUGAUUUAAGGGAUCUUUCGAUUUUCCAGUCAAUCUGGAGAAUACGGUGGGGAUUUUGACUAUGGCUGGCAAAGGAGUUUGAGUUUUGACUACUUCUACCUCUGAUCUUGGCAAAAUCUUGGCCUGUAUGCACAGCCUUGAUGUUGGAGGUGAGAUCAACUUAACGGCGACCAUCCAGAUUGCUCAGCUUGCUUUUAAGCAUCGCCAAAACAAGAAUCAACGCCAACGGAUUAUUGUUUUUGCUGGAAGCCCUAUCAAGUAUGAAAAGAAGGCCCUAUAACUACUUUCUUUGUCCUCUUCUGAUUUUAUCCGUUUGUGGUUAAUUUUUA